GAUCCGGCUCGGGAUGAACGCUGGCGGCGUGCUUAACACAUGCAAGUCGAGCGAAGCACUUAAGUUUGAUUCUUCGGAUGAAGACUUUUGUGACUGAGCGGCGGACGGGUGAGUAACGCGUGGGUAACCUGCCUCAUACAGGGGGAUAACAGUUAGAAAUGGCUGCUAAUACCGCAUAAGACCACAGUACUGCAUGGUACAGUGGUAAAAACUCCGGUGGUAUGAGAUGGACCCGCGU
rnacentral:rRNA from 1 species